UGUUCGAAAGGGAAACAGCCCAGACCACCAGCUAAGGUCCCAAAAUAUAUGUUAAGUGGAAAAGGAUGUGGCGUUGCCCAGACAACUAGGAUGUUGGCUUAGAAGCAGCCAUCAUUUAAAGAGUGCGUAAUAGCUCACUAGUCGAGUGACACUGCGCCGAAAAUGUACCGGGGCUAAACAUAUUACCGAAGCUGUGGAUUGUCCUUUGGACAAUGGUAGGAGAGCGUUCUAAGGGCGUUGAAGCAUGAUCGCAAGGACAUGUGGAGCGCUUAGAAGUGAGAAUGCCGGUGUGAGUAGCGAAAGACGGGUGAGAAUCCCGUCCACCGAUUGACUAAGGUUUCCAGAGGAAGGCUCGUCCGCUCUGGGUUAGUCGGGUCCUAAGCUGAGGCCGACAGGCGUAGGCGAUGGAUAACAGGUUGAUAUUCCUGUACCACCUAUAAUCGUUUUAAUCGAUGGGGGGACGCAGUAGGAUAGGCGAAGCGUGCGAUUGGAUUGCACGUCUAAGCAGUAAGGCUGAGUAUUAGGCAAAUCCGGUACUCGUUAAGGCUGAGCUGUGAUGGGGAGAAGACAUUGUGUCUUCGAGUCGUUGAUUUCACACUGCCGAGAAAAGCCUCUAGAUAGAAAAUAGGUGCCCGUACCGCAAACCGACACAGGUAGUCAAGAUGAGAAUUCUAAGGUGAGCGAGCGAACUCUCGUUAAGGAACUCGGCAAAAUGACCCCGUAACUUCGGGAGAAGGGGUGCUCUUUAGGGUUAACGCCCAGAAGAGCCGCAGUGAAUAGGCCCAAGCGACUGUUUAUCAAAAACACAGGUCUCUGCUAAACCGUAAGGUGAUGUAUAGGGGCUGACGCCUGCCCGGUGCUGGAAGGUUAAGAGGAGUGGUUAGCUUCUGCGAAGCUACGAAUCGAAGCCCCAGUAAACGGCGGCCGUAACUAUAACGGUCCUAAGGUAGCGAAAUUCCUUGUCGGGUAAGUUCCGACCCGCACGAAAGGCGUAACGAUUUGGGCACUGUCUCAACGAGAGACUCGGUGAAAUCAUAGUACCUGUGAAGAUGCAGGUUACCCGCGACAGGACGGAAAGACCCCGUGGAGCUUUACUGUAGCCUGAUAUUGAAAUUCGGCACAGCUUGUACAGGAUAGGUAGGAGCCUUUGAAACGUGAGCGCUAGCUUACGUGGAGGCGCUGGUGGGAUACUACCCUAGCUGUGUUGGCUUUCUAACCCGCACCACUUAUCGUGGUGGGAGACAGUGUCAGGCGGGCAGUUUGACUGGGGCGGUCGCCUCCUAAAAGGUAACGGAGGCGCUCAAAGGUUCCCUCAGAAUGGUUGGAAAUCAUUCAUAGAGUGUAAAGGCAUAAGGGAGCUUGACUGCGAGACCUACAAGUCGAGCAGGGUCGAAAGACGGACUUAGUGAUCCGGUGGUUCCGCAUGGAAGGGCCAUCGCUCAACGGAUAAAAGCUACCCCGGGGAUAACAGGCUUAUCUCCCCCAAGAGUUCACAUCGACGGGGAGGUUUGGCACCUCGAUGUCGGCUCAUCGCAUCCUGGGGCUGUAGUCGGUCCCAAGGGUUGGGCUGUUCGCCCAUUAAAGCGGUACGCGAGCUGGGUUCAGAACGUCGUGAGACAGUUCGGUCCCUAUCCGUCGUGGGCGUAGGAAAUUUGAGAGGAGCUGUCCUUAGUACGAGAGGACCGGGAUGGACAUACCUCUGGUGUACCAGUUGUCGUGCCAACGGCAUAGCUGGGUAGCUAUGUGUGGACGGGAUAAGUGCUGAAAGCAUCUAAGCAUGAAGCCCCCCUCAAGAUGAGAUUUCCCAACUUCGGUUAUAAGAUCCCUCAAAGAUGAUGAGGUUAAUAGGUUCGAGGUGGAAGCAUGGUGACAUGUGGAGCUGACGAAUACUAAUCGAUCGAAGACUUAAUCAA
rnacentral:rRNA from 1 species